rnacentral:rRNA from 1 species
UAUUCCUACGGGGGGCAGCAGUGGGGAAUAUUGCACAAUGGGGGAAACCCUGAUGCAGCGACGCCGCGUGAGCGAUGAAGUAUUUCGGUAUGUAAAGCUCUAUCAGCAGGGAAGAAAAUGACGGUACCUGACUAAGAAGCCCCGGCUAACUACGUGCCAGCAGCCGCGGUAAUACGUAUGGUGCAAGCGUUAUCCGGAUUUACUGGGCGUAAAGGGAGCGCAGGCGGCGCGCCAAGUCUGAUGUGAAACCCCGGGGCUCAACCCCGGGCAUGCAUUGGAAACUGGCGGGCUGG